UACGAAGGGGGCUAGCGUUGCUCGGAAUUACUGGGCGUAAGGCGCACGUAGGCGGCUCUUUAAGUCGGGGGUGAAAUCCUGGAGCUCAACUCCAGAACUGCCUUCGAUACGUGUAGAGCUUGAGUUCGGGAGAGGUGAGUGGAACUGCGAGUGUAGAGGUGAAAUUCGUAGAUAUUCGCAAGAACACCAGGUGGCGAAGGCGGCUCACUGGUCCGGUACUGACGCGUGAGGGUGACGAAAGCGUGGGGAGCAAACAGG
rnacentral:rRNA from 1 species